rnacentral:rRNA from 1 species
AUUGAACGCUGGCGGCAUGCCUUACACAUGCAAGUCGAACGGUAACAGGUCUUCGGAUGCUGACGAGUGGCGAACGGGUGAGUAAUACAUCGGAACGUGCCUAGUAGUGGGGGAUAACUACUCGAAAGAGUGGCUAAUACCGCAUGAGAUCUACGGAUGAAAGCAGGGGAUCGCAAGACCUUGUGCUACUAGAGCGGCCGAUGGCAGAUGAGGUAGUUGGUGGGAUAAAAGCUUACCAAGCCGACGAUCUGUAGCUGGUCUGAGAGGACGAUCAGCCACACUGGGACUGAGACACGGCCCAGACUCCUACGGGAGGCAGCAGUGGGGAAUUUUGGACAAUGGGCGCAAGCCUGAUCCAGCAAUGCCGCGUGCAGGAUGAAGGCCUUCGGGUUGUAAACUGCUUUUGUACGGAACGAAAAGCCCUGGGUUAAUACCCUGGGGUCAUGACGGUACCGUAAGAAUAAGCACCGGCUAACUACGUGCCAGCCGCCGCGGUAAAAC